rnacentral:rRNA from 1 species
UACGUAGGUGACAAGCGUUGUCCGGAUUUACUGGGCGUAAAGAGCGCGCAGGCGGUCGAGUAAGUCGAAUGUGAAAGCCCCCGGCUUAACUGGGGAGGGUCAUUCGAUACUGUUCGACUUGAAGGCAGGAGAGGGCAGCAGAAUUCCCGGUGUAGUGGUGAAAUGCGUAGAUAUCGAGAGGAACACCUGCGGCGAAGGCGUGUUGCUGGGCUGACACUGACGCUGAAGCGCGAAAGCUAGGGGAGCGAACGGG